AAAUGUUGAGUACUUAUUUAGACCACAAUAUUCUGGUUAUCAAAUAGCAAGAAAUAAAGAAAGAUAGGUUUUGAUAAGCAGAUUAGUGGCAACUUGCUGUUAUACUUGGCAACAUCGCAAAACGCGUGCGCACUACUUCCUUAAGCCCCGGGAGCAUCACACGUGUCGCUCCAAUCUACCUCUCAACCUCUCCCUCCACCGCCCCGCACCUCACACCGACCGACUAAUGAGUUACAGAUCCACGUGGCAGAGUGAAGGGAGUGGAGGACUAGUGAGGUGCCCGCUUUACCAGCCAUUCCUCCUUGGCGACGCGUGGAGCUCAGACGGCGCUUGUCUGGGGCUCUUAAUCCAGCAGCAGUUUGGCACCGCUUGCUGCCUUCACUGGCUUUUGUUCCAAGCUGUCUGCGUGGCCCCUCCUCGCCUCCUGGCACUGGACGUGGACCUACCUGUUUCCAGUCAACCUGUGAGGAUCUGUCUGUUAAAGGGGAGAUGCAGAUCAAAGUACGAACCGCCUUGAUACGAAUCCACGAGCAUGUGAAGCUGUGAUCUGCCCCGCCGUGGCCUGUUCCUGCUGCGCGCUGCUGUGCCUGCUUAAGUCUUUUUUUAUAUUACUUAAAAGGUGUCCAGUGUGUCAGAGUUUGUGGACUUUUAGUGCACUAAGUCAGACUCCCCAACAAUAAAUAAAAUUUGUUUUGUUUCUAGUGUUCAUCUCCGGAGACUUAGGUAUGAGAGCGGUCUUUGUUCCCUCUUCAAUAGAGGUGAAUAGUAUCAGAAUAAAAAAUAAUCCGCAUUUU